AAUAGCUCAAAUUUGAAAGCUGGCGUCUUCGACGUCCGCGUUGUAAUUUGUAGAGGAUGCUUCGGCGAAGACUCCUGCCUAAGUCCCCUGGAACGGGGCGUCAUAGAGGGUGAGAAUCCCGUAUGUGGCGGGCAGUCUAAGCCAUGUGAAGCUCCUUCGACGAGUCGAGUUGUUUGGGAAUGCAGCUCUAAAUGGGAGGUAAAUUUCUUCUAAAGCUAAAUAUUGGCCAGAGACCGAUAGCGCACAAGUAGAGUGAUCGAAAGAUGAAAAGCACUUUGGAAAGAGAGUUAAAAAGUACGUGAAAUUGUUGAAAGGGAAGCGCUUGCAACCAGACUCGCUCGUAGUUGCUCAGCCGGCCUCUUGGCCGGUGCACUCUUCUACGAUCGGGCCAGCAUCAGUUCGGGCGGCAGGAUAAAGGUGUCGGGAAUGUAGCACCCUUCGGGGUGUGUUAUAGCCCGGCGCGGAAUGCUGCCAGCCUGGACUGAGGAUCUCGCUUCGGCAAGGAUGCUGGCGUAAUGGUUGUAAGCGGCCCGUCUUA
rnacentral:rRNA from 1 species